UUCCUUACAAUAGCUCAACUAACUAUUCUAAACACCACCCGAUUAAAACAAACCAUUUGACACCACUAGUAAAGGAGAUUAAACAUAAACUAUUGAAGCUAUAAUACAAGUACCGAAAGGGAACAAUGAAAAAUAAUGAAAAAUAAAAAUUAAAAAGCAAAGAUAUAACCUAAUACCUCUUGCAUCACGGUCUAUCAAGUCCAAACCAAACAAAGAGAUCUAUAGUUUGCCUCCCCGAAAUCAAGUGAGCUAUGUUAAAACAGCUAAAACUGAGCCAACCCGUCUCUGUAGCAAAAGAGUGGGAAGAUUUUAACAUCGAGGUGAAAAGCCUACCGAACUUGUUAAUAGCUGGUUGCCCGUUAAAUGAACUUAAAUUCAAACUUAGGACCAAAUCGCAUUAAACCUAGCCAAAACUUCUCCUAAAAGAUAGUCAAUUAGGGUACAGCCUUAUUGAAUCAGGACUCAACCUGAAAUAGCGAGAAAAUAAUCAAAACAUAAAAGUAGGCCUCAAAGCAGCCAUCAAUUAUUAUGGCGUCACAGCAAUAUACACAAAAAUUCCACUAAUUAUUAUUAUCUCCUACUUCACAACGGGCUACUCUAAAAUAUUAGAAGAACUAAUGCUAGAACUAGUAACAUGACUCUAAUCUCCAUGCACAACUGUAAAUCAGCAAUAGAAGAUUCUACUGAAAAUUAACCAAAAGUAAAACCCCAUUUUCCCCUACAAAUAUACUGUUAACCCGACACAGGAGUGCUAAAAAGAAGGUUAAAAAUUAAAGAAGGAACUCGGCAAAAACUAGUCCCAACUGUUUACCAAAAACAUAGCCUUUAGCUCAAUAAGUAUUAAAGGUAGCGCCUGCCCAGUGAAGUUUUCAACGGCCGCGGUAUCCUAACCGUGCAAAGGUAGCGUAAUCAUUUGUCCUCUAAAUAAGGACCAGUAUGAACGGCUAAAUGCGGACCAACCUGUCUCCUUUAAUCAACCAGUGAAACUGAUCUACCAGUACAAAAGCUGGUAUAACAAUAUAAGACGAGAAGACCCUGUGGAGCUUAAAAUUAUAAUCAUACCAACCUUUAACCACAUAAACUCUUUGACCCUAUAAUUUUCAGUUGGGGCGACUUCGGAACCAAACCAAACUUCCAAGCAAACAGGCCUUAAUCCUAACCAAGACCAACAAGUCAAGCAAAAUGACCCAGUAAAACUGAUCAACGAACCAAGUUACCCCAGGGAUAACAGCGCAAUCUUCUUCAAGAGUCCAUAUCGACAAGAAGGUUUACGACCUCGAUGUUGGAUCAGGACACCCAAUUGGUGCAGCCGCUAUUAAAGGUUCGUUUGUUCAACGAUUAACAGUCCUACGUGAUCUGAGUUCAGACCGGAGCAAUCCAGGUCGGUUUCUAUCUAUAUAAUUUUUUUCCAGUACGAAAGGACCGAAAAAACAAAGCCACUGCUAAAAGUAUGCUUUGACCCUGUUUAAAGCUGAAAAAAACUAAAGCUUAAACAAACCAGAGUUGUUAACCCCCAAUAUCAGGGGGUUA
rnacentral:rRNA from 1 species